rnacentral:rRNA from 1 species
AUUGAACGCUGGCGGCAUGCCUUACACAUGCAAGUCGAACGUGAAAGCGGGGCAACCCGCAAGUAGAGUGGCGGACGGGUGAGUAAUACAUCGGAACGUGUCCAGUAAUGGGGGAGUAACCUAGCGAAAGUUAGGCUAAUACCGCAUACGAUCUGCGGAUGAAAGCGGGGGAUGCGGCACUAAAAGCUUUUGGUUGAAGGUCGCCAAAGGCAGGUCAAGAGCUUUUAGUGCGCACCUCGCGUUAUUGGAGCGGCUGAUGUCUGAUUAGCUAGUUGGUGAGGUAAAGGCUUACCAAGGCGGACGAUCAGUAGCUGGUCUGAGAGGACGGCCAGCCACACUGGGACUGAGACACGGCCCAGACUCCUACGGGAGGCAGCAGUGGGGAAUUUUGGACAAUGGGGGCAACCCCUGAUCCAGCCAUGUCGCGUGAGUGAAGAAGGCC